GGUGAACGCUGGCGGCGUGCCUAAUACAUGCAAGUCGAGCGAGACUCUUCGGAGUCUAGCGGCGGACGGGUGAGUAACACGUGGGCAACCUGCCUGUAAGACUGGGAUAACACCGGGAAACCGGUGCUAAUACCGGAUAAUCCUUUUCCUCUCAUGAGGGAAAGCUGAAAGUCGGUUUCGGCUGACACUUACAGAUGGGCCCGCGGCGCAUUAGCUAGUUGGUGAGGUAACGGCUCACCAAGGCGACGAUGCGUAGCCGACCUGAGAGGGUGAUCGGCCACACUGGGACUGAGACACGGCCCAGACUCCUACGGGAGGCAGCAGUAGGGAAUCUUCCACAAUGGACGAAAGUCUGAUGGAGCAACGCCGCGUGAGCGAUGAAGGCCUUCGGGUCGUAAAGCUCUGUUGUUAGGGAAGAACAAGUACCGGAGUAACUGCCGGUACCUUGACGGUACCUAACCAGAAAGCCACGGCUAACUACGUGCCAGCAGCCGCGGUAAUAC
rnacentral:rRNA from 1 species